rnacentral:lncRNA from 1 species
UGUCUCCCAGGGGAUGACAAUCUGGUUGUGUCCUUCCCGUCAAAAAAAUAAAAUAAAACCUGGCUAUGUCCUUCACUUGGCGCAUAUCGUCCCUGGCGAUGACGAUCUCUUCAUGUUCUCUCACUCUCAUUUUUCGUCUUUCGGAGAUGAUAACUGCUCCUACAAACUUUAGAUGAAGUUAGGGUUUAACUUUGAAUGGUGGGUGGUGGUAAUGGUGGUGGAUCUUUUGCGGAGAUGGGAGUGGAGCUUGGUUAGGGUUUAACUUUGAAUGGUGGGUGGUGGUAAUGGUGGUGGAUCUUUUGCGGAGAUGGGAGUGGAGCUUGGUUAGGGUUUAACUUUGAAUGGUGGGUGGUGGUAAUGGUGGUGGAUCUUGUGCGGAGAUGGGAGUGGAGCUUGGAAGGCGUUAGGAGGUGGUGGACAGAGGGGAGACAAGGUGUAGGGUUAUAUAUGGCCGAAAAAGGGGUUUUUCGGCUUGGUAUAACAAAGCAAUCAACCGAUACAGCUAACGAUAGGUGCUGGGGCAGACAUUACAAUCAUGCCCAAAAAAUUGACAAAAGAAAAAUAAAAGAAAGAAUGCGAGCAGCACCUGAUCAACGAAAGUUGUAGUGUCCCGUAACUGUUGUGUCCACCGGAUAAUUCCACCACACUUCAGUGCCAUCGAAUUGCCGCGUGCCAAGGACACCUUCAAGAAGGACUGCAAUGACGACGACGCUGCUGCCUGGACAAGUCCUAGGAUUUCUCCCGGCACACGGAGGGGAGUGGGGGAGAGGUACAUCUAACGCCCUUCAGGAAGGGAGGGGGCGCCCGCAGGCGUCACCGCACCGGUGUGGCCGGAUCAGAGAGAGAUUUCUCCCGACCCCUCACACCCACCACCUGGAACCAAUUCUUAGCUCAACCAUGCCAAUCACCCACCAACAUGCGCCACCACAGUCACGAGGACAAUACCGUCGUCUCACCAAAGAAAACGCAGCGAGGCCGCUGGACUGAGACACAACCACCGUGGACUGGGACCGGCAAUACCACAAUCGCGUGGGAGGGGAAACCUCCACCGGCUCAAGCGGUAGCAAACCGGACGCAGGAGCAAGGGCAUGCCGGACCGACUGUCUACCCGAGUCCAGAUCGGGCCCGUUAAGCCCCCGCCGUCGCGCUGCAGCAGACGUAGCACAGGAGCCGCCGCCCCCAUCUCCCUUAUCGCGCCAGACCAGCCGGAGACGACCCGCCGGAGACCGAACCGGCCCACCCCGACCCAGAUCUAGGCCCUAAGGGCCCAGAUCUGGGCCAGCAUGGCGCCGCCAUCCGACACCGUCGCCAAGGGGCCGCGCCGCCGCCCGAUCUGCCUCGGGGCACCUCCCACCGAGGACCACCGCCACCGGAGCACGUCGCCCGAGCCGGGAACCGCGACGAGAAAAGGCAGCGGCCCACCACCGUCGGCUUCACAGCGCCACGCGAGCAAGCGCCCGACCACGCCUGCCGACGACAUCGGCGAGAGGGAGGGAGGGAGGGGAGGUUUGGCGGCUGGGGGAG